rnacentral:rRNA from 1 species
GACAGAGGGGGCAAGCGUUGCUCGGAAUCACUGGGCGUAAAGGGCGCGUAGGCGGGAUGGCAAGUCGGUCGUGAAAUCCUUCGGCUCAACCGAAGAACGUCGGCCGAUACUGCCGUUCUUGAGGGAUGCAGAGGAGAUUGGAAUUCCCGGUGUAGUGGUGAAAUGCGUAGAUAUCGGGAGGAACACCAACGGCGAAGGCAGCUCUCUGGGACGUUACUGACGCUGAGACGCGAAAGCGUGGGGAGCAAACAGG